rnacentral:lncRNA from 1 species
UUGUCACAAACACUAUUAUUUUAACGGUAAAAGAGGAAUACACAUUUCAAGCAAAAGGGUAAGGAGCCAAGUGGCGUCAUAAACAACAAUUGCAACAAUCUUGCAUUCAACCUCUAUGUACUCGAUCAUGAUAUGCUUAGUUGCUGGUUUGAGGAGCAGAAAAUGAGAUUAUCUCAUGGUUGGAGUCAUGAGAAGAUGAUGUUUGAAAAAGUAAGUAGGUGAUAAAUUGGAUUGUAAAGCUAUCUUUUUACAAGAAAGGGAAAUUAACCGCUCAUGUCACCGGGUGGGGGACCCUGCCUACUCUCUUUCUCCUCCAAACUCGAGCUUUA